rnacentral:rRNA from 1 species
CCUACGGGGGGCUGCAGUGGGGAAUAUUGGACAAUGGGCGAAAGCCUGAUCCAGCCAUGCCGCGUGUGUGAAGAAGGCCUUCGGGUUGUAAAGCACUUUCAGUGGGGAAGAAAGCCUUGGGGCUAAUACCCUCGAGGAAGGACAUCACCCACAGAAGAAGCACCGGCUAACUCCGUGCCAGCAGCCGCGGUAAUACGGAGGGUGCGAGCGUUAAUCGGAAUUACUGGGCGUAAAGCGCGCGUAGGCGGUCUGAUAAGCCGGUUGUGAAAGCCCCGGGCUCAACCUGGGAACGGCAUCCGGAACUGUCAGGCUAGAGUGCAUGAGAGGAAGGUAGAAUUCCCGGUGUAGCGGUGAAAUGCGUAGAGAUCGGGAGGAAUACCAGUGGCGAAGGCGGCCUUCUGGACUGACACUGACGCUGAGGUGCGAAAGCGUGGGUAGCAAACAGGAUUAGAUACCCGAGUAGUC